rnacentral:rRNA from 1 species
UACGUAGGGGCCUAGCGUUGUCCGGAUUUAUUGGGCGUAAAGAGCGUGUAGGCGGCCAGGUAGGUCCGCUGUGAAAACUCGAGGCUCAACCUCGAGAUGUCGGCGGAAACCAUCUGGCUAGAGUCCGGAAGAGGAAAGUGGAAUUCCCGGUGUAGCGGUGAAAUGCGCAGAUAUCGGGAAGAACACCCGUGGCGAAGGCGGCUUUCUGGGACGGUACUGACGCUGAGACGCGAAAGCGUGGGGAGCGAACAGG